rnacentral:rRNA from 1 species
GAUGAACGCUGGCGGCGUGCCUAAUACAUGCAAGUCGAGCGAACAGAUAAGGAGCUUGCUCCUUUGACGUUAGCGGCGGACGGGUGAGUAACACGUGGGUAACCUAUCUAUAAGACUGGAAUAACUCCGGGAAACCGGGGCUAAUGCCGGAUAACAUGUUGAACCGCAUGGUUCUACAGUGAAAGGCGGCUUUGCUGUCACUUAUAGAUGGACCCGCGCCGUAUUAGCUAGUUGGUGAGGUAACGGCUCACCAAGGCAACGAUACGUAGCCGACCUGAGAGGGUGAUCGGCCACACUGGAACUGAGACACGGUCCAGACUCCUACGGGAGGCAGCAGUAGGGAAUCCUCCGCAAUGGGCGAAAGCCUGACGGAGCAACGCCGCGUGAGUGAUGAAGGUCUUCGGAUCGUAAAACUCUGUUAUUAGGGAAGAACAAAUGCGUAAGUAACUGUGCGCGUCUUGACGGUACCUAAUCAGAAAGCCACGGCUAACUACGUG